UACAGAGGGUGCAAGCGUUGCUCGGAAUUAUUGGGCGUAAAGGGUGGGUAGGUGGUCUCGUUUGUCUUAGGUGAAAUCCCUGGGCUUAACCCAGGAAGUGCCUUGGAAACGGCGAGACUGGAGUACUAGAGAGGUUCGUAGAAUUCCCGGUGUAGCGGUGAAAUGCGUAGAGAUCGGGAGGAAUACCAGAUGCGAAGGCGGCGAACUGGAUAGUUACUGACACUAAACCACGAAAGCGUGGGGAUCAAACAGG
rnacentral:rRNA from 1 species